AUUCAUCUGACGAGUUCAAAAUAGGACUAAACGCGCGUCCUGGAC
rnacentral:hammerhead_ribozyme from 1 species